rnacentral:sRNA from 1 species
AUGCAAUGGCGCAGUAUCCUAGUCAGCCUUUUCGGUUUCGGGGAAGGGCCUAAAAAUCCUUUGAAGGGCAUAACUGUGAAGCCCGUGGUGUCUGCUUCUUACGCCCAGUUUGGGGUGGAUGCUGGGGGAAGGCGAUUUUCGCCUGCGGUGCUCGGGCAUGCCUCAAUGGCAUGAGGAUCAUGACCCGGUCGCUGUGGAGACCGGAUAUUGUGCAGAGGCGUACUCCCUUUGCGGUUCGCGACCUUUGUACGAUACCGGAUGUGAACCUGCAUUGCGGUGCUACCCGGCUUUAUGCCGUGAACGCUGUGUGCAGUGUAGCCUGCCUUGCGUGAGCAGGUCGGGAGAGGAAAGCUAUGCGUUCGAAUGCAUGGCCUUGCGUUCAGGGCGAUAUUUCCUUGAAAGACUGUUUGCAAAAGAGGAUAAGGACCGAAGUCAGCUGUCGUGGAAAGCACCUAGGCUGUCGUUACUGGGCAAAUAUGGGAUUGCGGUACGGACUAAGUGGCAAUCGGGUACCGGUAUUGGCAACAUACCGGCAGAAAGAUGAAAGGGAAACCGCCUCAACCGGCGACGGGAGGUUCUUUCCGGGGAAAACAAACCCGACCUAAGCCGUAAGAUUAACCAUAUUUGCCGCCUUGCUUUCCU